UACGGGGGGGGCAAGCGUUGUUCGGAAUUACUGGGCGUAAAGGGCUCGUAGGUGGCCAACUAAGUCGGACGUGAAAUCCCUCGGCUUAACCGGGGAACUGCGUCUGAUACUGGAUGGCUUGAGUUCGGGAGAGGGAUGCGGAAUUCCAGGUGUAGCGGUGAAAUACGUAGAUAUCUGGAGGAAUACCGGUGGCGAAGGCGGCUAUCUGGCCAAACAUUGACGCUGAGAGACGAAAGCGUGGGUAGCAAACAGG
rnacentral:rRNA from 1 species